CAAGAGCGUAUGUAAAAGUUGUUGCAGUUAAAAAGCUCGUAGUUGAACCUUGGGUUUGGUUGGCCGGUCCGCUUUUUUGCGAGUACUGGAUUCAACCGAGCCUUUCCUUCUGGCUAACCAGUCGUUUCGGCGGCUGGCGAACCAGGAUUUUUACUUUGAGAAAAUUAGAGUGUUCAAAGCAGGCAUUAGCUUGAAUAUAUUAGCAUGGAAUAAUAGAAUAGGACGUUAUGGUUCUAUUUUGUUGGUUUCUAGGACCAUCGUAAUGAUUAAUAGGGACGGUCGGGGGCAUCAGCAUUCAGUUGUCAGAGGUGAAAUUCUUGGAUUUACUGAAGACUAACUACUGCGAAAGCAUUUGCCAAGGACGUUUUCAUUAA
rnacentral:rRNA from 1 species